GUCUGUAUGAUUGUUAUAUAGAGUCUAGCCUGCCCACUGAUAUAAAUUGAAGGGCCGCGGUAUUUUGACCGUGCGAAGGUAGCAUAAUCAUUAGUCUUUUAAUUGAAGGCUCGUAUGAAUGGUUGGACAAAAAGUGAGCUGUCUCCUUUAUAGAGCUUGAACUUAACUUUUAAGUGAAAAGGCUUAAAUAAGCUGGGGGGACGAUAAGACCCUAUAAAGCUUUACAAUAAAAUAAAAUGUAGCAUCACUUAUAUAAGUGUAACUUGGUUCAUAAAAAAGUUGUUUCGUUGGGGCGACGGGAAUAUAAUUAAAUAACUGUUCUUUUAUAAAAAAUACAGUAAUAGUUGCAGAAAAACUGAUCCUUAUUCAAGAUUAAAAGAUUAAGUUACUUUAGGGAUAACAGCGUAAUCUUCCUUAAGAGUCCAGAUCGACAGGAAGGGUUGCGACCUCGAUGUUGAAUUAAGGUUUCCUAGUGGUGCAGCAGUCACGAAGGAGGGUCUGUUCGACCUUUAAAUCCUU
rnacentral:rRNA from 1 species